CUUGAUUUUUCUCUGUUUGCUUCUCAAUUCAGCUUCAUCCACACCCUCCCCAGUAUUCAAUCUAAUGUGUGACAAAAUGGUGUCAGCCCUCUGAGCCCAAGCUAAGCCAUCAUAUCCCCUGUGACCUGCAUGUAUACCUCCAGAUGGCCUGAAGUAACUGAAGAAUCACAAAAGAAGUGAAAAUGGCCUGUUUCUACCUUAACUGAUGACAUUACCUUGUGAAAUUCCUUCUCUUGGUUCAUAUUGGCUCAGAAGCUCCCCUACUGAGCACCUUGCGUCCCCCGCCCCUGCCCGCCAGAGAACAACCCCCUUUGACUGUAAUUUUCUACUAUCUACCCAAAUCCUAUAAAACGGCCCCACCCCUAUCUCCCUUUGCUGACUCUUUUCGGACUCAGCCCGCCUGCACCCAGGUGAUUAAAAAUCUUUAUUGCUUUGUUAAAGCCUGUUUGGUGGUCUCUUCCCACGGACACGCAUGAAAGUAAGGUUCUGGGAUGAAGUGGCCAGAACAAUGAUCAGGAUUACCCCUCCACCAAGUCUCUGAAGGGUUACAUAGCUUCUAUUUUCUAAGUGAUGUCCUAAGCACCAGGUUCUUGCUCUUCAAUGGCUUGUCUAAUACUUACUGGAUCUCCUGACCUGCGAUGUCCCGUGUCUCUUGUAACUUGUAAGAUAUAAAAAUAAAAUCCUAAGUUUCCUACCUGACCCCAGAGAAACCUUAAAAACCGAGAUCCCAACCAUGAUGGAUGGGAGCGCAGACAUGCCUCAUUGUACCCCCUACCUUGCUAACCACGAUUAGGUUUUCUUUCCUAGGGAUUAAACAGAAACCAGCCCUUUUGAAAGUCUCCACCACUGAUUUCAUCAGACUCCCCUCUCUUUUGCGGUUUCAACGUAACAACUGACCAGCAUUCCUUCCUGAUGAGAGAGCACCCACCAUGGGAUAGUUCUGGAAAAAGCCCAGUUUUCUGCACACAGUAGUCCAGAAAGAGCUACUUUUCAUUUCUCCCAGCCCUUGAGAUCACCACGGAUGGGCAGCUGCUAGUAGUAAGGACUUGCUUAACUCCCACUUACAAGUGAGAACAUCCAAUGUUUGGAUUUCCAUUCCUGAGUUACUUUGCUUAGAAGAGGGUGAUGGUUUUGAGAGUGGGCCCUGGAGCAGACAACUUGAGCUCAAACCCAGAGCUACUCCUUAGGAGUCAGCAUUUCAAUUGUUUCCAGUUUUUUGCUAUUAUGGGGAGUGCUGCAUAGACCUUCUUGAACAUUGUCUUCAUGGGCACAUGAACAAGAUUUUCUCUUGGGAAUACACUCAGGAGUAAAACUGCUGAGGAGAAGGUACCCCAUCCUUCCCCCCAAAUCAGUCUCACUUUCCUGAGGAAAAUACAUCAAAUUCUCAGGAUACGUUAUUCCAUGACAGUCAAAACUCCUUGAGAUAUAAACAUAACCUAACAAGGACUUGGAUAACAAAUACUUGGAUAAUGAAAACAUCCAAUAAUUAUGUGCCACCUACUCACCAGGAUCAUGCCCCCACAGGAAAAUGUGGAACAAAGCUCUCCUCAAGGGGGAAGAAAACGGGUAAGGUCUUCAUCUUCUAGGACUAAAUCCUUUGUGUACAUCAAAGAUACAACAGAGGAGAACAUGAAAUGCCUUCUUCAAAUUUCUCUUCCAUGCUUGCACAGCUGAAGAUAUUUUCUCAGUAGUGCUCACAUCAAAGGCUAUGGAUUUGCUGGAAAAAUCUCUGUCACUUUCUGGAAGGAAGCCCAUAUCUCAUUACUAAUAAGAGAGCAUCCUCUUACCCACUGAUGUUUUCAAAUGAAAGGAAAAAAAAGAAAACCUUUUCCCACUUGCUCCAUGGCAACAUAGUGUUCUAUCCACCCACUCCCCAGUCCUUCAUAACCAUCCCUAACCCAAAGGAUCCAGGAAGAUUCUGAUUUAUGUUAUUGUUUUCAUCCUCAUGAAGAUUUAAUGUACUAGGUUCGGUGCACUGAUCUUGAAUUUACAUCAUUGUUAAAAUCUUUUGAUUAAUGACUCAUUGAUUGAAUAGCCAGCUAUCUAAUUCUCUCCCUUCUUUUCUUUCUUCCUGGUUUUCUCUCAUAAGUAUGUACCGUGUGCCACUGCAUGCCAGGCACUAGGCUGGGAGCUGGGGUUGUAACCCAGACAUCAUUGCAAUACGGUGGGAAGCAUCACAGGAGAGUGACUGGAUCUGAUUUAUGAUGAUUGAGAAUAUUUUCCUCAUUAUGAAUCUUUUUUCCUGCCCUGUAAGGCAUGACUUGUAAAUAAGUAGUGGUUUUCAUAGAAAAGCCUAAGGAAUGCUCGCCCUAGCUAGACAUUUCAUUACAUCUUUGCUGUUCGACUUCUCGUUCACUGUCCUUUGUUUGGUGGGAAUCUUUGUGAGCAGAUCAGUUCCCAGGAGUAGAUGCUCAGACUGAAGUCACAGAACUGACUCUGAAGCCAUCUCCUUUGUGUAUGGUCCCAAGAGCUUCAAGGUACACAGGGCCCAGUGUAAGCCUGGGGAAAGCUCAGCGGAUUUUAGAUCACACCUCCCCAGCAUUCCAUUUUCCAAAAGCAACACUCAGAUCUUUUUGACUCAGAUCUGCAAUACUCAGAUCUUUUCCACCCUCUCUCCUGCUCACCUUUUCUCCUCUUAGGUGUGCCAGCUUGGCUUUCUCUGCUCCUGAAUGUUUUCCUUCUUCCCACACAUAUAUUUAUGUUUCUUUAGAGAAGCAAUUCAGCUCUGACCUAGAAACUCCACUCCUGCACCCCCACACCCAACACUUAACAACAUGAUCUUCAAGUAGGUAAAACAAAAACGACUAUUGCACUGUAGACAAUGACCUCGUAGAUAGCCAACAAAAGAGACUUCAGUUUGCAACCGUGGUUCCAGUACCUUCUCUGCAUUAAUUCAUUCACUGAUAUUGUGUAUUGGUGUGACUUCCUCUACAAGCAGCACCUGAAACGAGGGUUUAGGAGCAGGAAGUUUAUUUGGGCAGAGGUGAUUAUUAGGAAGCAGGAGUGAGGAAGUGGGGAAGAGAGAGACUGGGAAGGAGAAAAAGCCUCUAUAGGUACAUUAGUGAGCUGGUUCUUUCUGUGGACACUGGGGCUCAAUCAUGAGGGGAUCCUCUCAGGAACCAUGUAGAACGCAUCUUGGAUGGUUCUUCUGAAUGAUGGAAGGAUGGAAUAUUUAUCUACCUAAUCGCAUCCCAUUCUGAUUGAAGGUUGCUCUCAGGGAGAGUCACACCACUCUUUGGGCUGCUCUGCCAGAGUCUGAGCCAAAUCCUGCAGGGGCCAUCUCUGGGCAGGAGGGAAGCUGUCAGCAGGCACGGGAGCUGUCCACCACAGCUGCAGCUGAAAUCAGAGGCAAACCGAGGAAAUGCAACCUGGGGCACCAAGAGUGGUGGCUACAAAUAGCAUUUGCCACAGUUGUAUUUAUUCAUUCUUCUUUGGUCUCCUUCAUCAAAUAAUAAAUUCCACAAGGACGGGGGCAGUGUCUCCAUCUUUGUUUCCCCAGUGACCAACACAGUGCCAGACUCAUGGGGGCCAUUCAGGUUUUAUUUGCUCAAUAAAUGAAGGAACUAACAAAAGAUCAGUGGACUGAAACUAGAAGUCUGAGUUCUAGUCCCAGGUGGGUCACAAAUUUUGGUGUGACCUUGGAUAUGUCAAAACCUUGCUUGCAGGGGGCUGGUUACUUAUUAACUUACAAAUUCCUAUUAAAAAAUAUAAACAUCCAAGCAUCAUGGGAGAAAAUUCCCUGUCAGUGAUUGACCUUAGAAUAAAAUAUUAUUCUCUAACUUCAUGGCUGUCUCUAAUUCUAGGCUUAGGUCCUUCCGAGAUGUAAAGAUGAACACUGUUGAGAUAGAAAGAGUGUGCUACAAAGUUGGUUACCUGAAAAAUGUUUCAUUUUAUGCAGGAUACAUGACUUGGAAAACCUUCACUAACACUCUCAUGUGAAGAGUGAUAGAAUGCUAAUUUCCCAUAGAUUCAUUAUCACCAUGAAAUGAAAUUUUGGAACACAUCACAGUAGAACAACGCAAGUAGUAACCAUUCAGUUCUUGAAAGAUGGUUUGGAUGCAGAACAUGACCAGAGCAUUGAUCUCAAACAAACAACAAAUGAAUAUAAAAGCAAGACAAAGGACUUCCAAUAAAAACAAAAAAU